UAUUUUGCCCUACAGGGAAGGAUGAGAAGCUUCGACUAAGGUUCGACUCGAGCGAAGCGAGAGAACGUUGCCGCAGGCAACGGCCCGAAGGGCGAGGAGCGAUAGCGACGAGUUAUCCUUCCCCCACCACCA
rnacentral:sRNA from 2 species